CAACUACUCCCUCUGUCCCAAAUUUCUUGUCUUAGAUUUGUCUAGAUACGGAUGUAUCAAGUACCUGAUACAUCCGUAUCUAGACAAAUCUAAGACAAGAAUUUUGGGACAGAGGGAGUACUUU
rfam:Triticum aestivum genome assembly, contig: Triticum_aestivum_CS42_TGACv1_scaffold_558843_7AL